rnacentral:lncRNA from 1 species
AGCUCUGAGAUGAGCUUUAAUCGAACGAAGCUGAGCUUUCUCACUGUUUUCCAAUAGACCGCUGUUUGUUUAUGGAGCUGAGCUCCAGAAAAUGUUUGAGAUUGGCUCAAUUUUUAGCUAAGCCAUGCUCGAACGCGUAAAUAUUGAGCGGAGCCCAAGCUGGUCAUGAACAGCUUGGUUGUUUGCAGCACUAAUUCUUCCAACUCAUUUUUGCACACUUUCUCCUAUAGCUUUAUUUAGGGUUGCAUUUUUGCCUUGAUAGUGCCAGAGUUAUUUAGACUUCU